rnacentral:misc_RNA from 1 species
UCUUUUAGGAUUUCUUCAUAAUUAUGUGGAAAUCUGAGUACUCUAGCGGCUUCCAUUGUCUUGUUAGUCUUAGUACUCUUGAUGCUCUGUGGCAUAAUCUUUCUUGGUUCUUCAUUGAGUACGGCAGCAUCACUAUGGUGGCCUUGAGGAGAAGCAUUGCUUAGUUCUUGAUUUUGUUGUAAAUCCUGAUCUUGUGACAACCCUGACCCCAUUUCUCUGAGAAGAACUCUUUGUGGAUGCUGG